rnacentral:rRNA from 1 species
AUUGAACGCUGGCGGCAGGCCUAACACAUGCAAGUCGAACGAGUGGCGGACGGGUGAGUAAUGUCUGGGAAACUGCCCGAUGGAGGGGGAUAACUACUGGAAACGGUAGCUAAUACCGCCUACCAUCUGAUGAACCCAGAUGGGAUUAGCUAGUAGGUGGGGUAACGGCUCACCUAGGCGACGAUCUCUAGCUGGUCUGAGAGGAUGACCAGCCACACUGGAACUGAGACACGGCCCAGAUUCCUACGGGAGGAAGCAGUGGGGAACAUUGCACAAUGGGCGAAAUCCUGAUGCAGCCAUGCCGCGUGGAUGAAGAAGGCCUUGGGGUUGUAAAGUACUUUCAGCGGGGAGGCGGUACCCGCAGAAGAAGCACCGGCUAACUCCGUGCCAGCAGCCGCGGUAAUUC